rnacentral:rRNA from 1 species
UACGUAGGGGGCAAGCGUUGUCCGGAAUCAUUGGGCGUAAAGCGCGCGUAGGCGGCCCGGUAAGUCCGUUGUGAAAGUCAAAGGCUCAACCUUUGAAUGCCGAUGGAUACUGCCGGGCUAGAGUCCGGAAGAGGCGAGUGGAAUUCCUGGUGUAGCGGUGAAAUGCGCAGAUAUCAGGAAGAACACCUAUGGCGAAGGCAGCUCUCUGGGACGUGACUGACGCUGAGACGCGAAAGCAUGGGGAGCGAACAGG